ACAGAAAGUAAAAGCUUCCAAGACCAAAACAUAGCAUUACCGAUAAAUGACAGAGGCUGAUGAGUCACGUAACAACUAUACUAUAACUUCGAUUAUAACAAUAAAAACAUGACAAAGAUCUUCUCACAUGAAACCGGAAACACCCUUGGGUUUCAUGAGGAGUUUCUUAAAAAGCUCACCAAGAGAGGUGCAAAGCAAGUGGACCAAUCUGAUAAAGCUAAAGCUAUUAUUGUCUUCUGCCCACUUGUCAGUCGUUAUGAGACCGACGUUCUCUCAGCUUUAGCCAGCAUCCCAGAAUCAAAAUGUGAGACUGUGAUUCUGGUGGUGAUGCAUCACACGUCCAACAAAGACCAGACUCUACCGCCGCACAGAGACCUGGGCAGCCGGGCACUCGCUCUCCACGUGGACUGUCUGUUUCAUGAGCAAUUGGGACUUCUUAAGUGCCCCAUCAAUAAAAGUGCAAUCAAGAUGGUCCGCCAAAAGCUGAAACUUCGUUCACUUUCCCUUCCAGGAAAGAAAAAAAAGAACAAGUCGAUCCAACAGAAGGACCGACAACUUAAUCAAAGCAAUUAAGAAGUAGGGUGAUCAAAAGUUAAACACUGAAAAAAGAUCUCAAAUAUCUACGUUCCAAAUAUUGUUGUACCUACUUUCUUCGCUGAUUAUGUUGAUUAUUGCUUUGAAUUUUUAAAAAAACGAAUAAGUACAAUUAAUAAUGUUGGACUGUAGAGAACGUGCAUUUCAACCAUGGCUUUUCAGUCUUAAACAUGAAUGUGAUUUGUAAUUUAUUCUCUUUUUUCAUUUUCAUGUUGGUUCAACAUGUGCUGCCUGCUUUUAAUAUAUGCAGUGUGCUUAAGUGAUCUUUGGUCUUCUUGAUGUUGCACUUUGUUACUCAUUAGAUGCUUAUUAAGAAUGUAGGAUCAAUUAUGGCUUGUAUAUUCCAGAAUAAAGCAAUCUUAUACUCUGA